UACGGAGGAUGCGAGCGUUAUCCGGAUUUAUUGGGUUUAAAGGGUGCGUAGGCGGAGUGCCAAGUCAGCGGUAAAAAUUCGGGGCCCAACCCCGUCGUGCCGUUGAAACUGGCGCCCUUGAGUGGGCGAGAAGUAUGCGGAAUGCGUGGUGUAGCGGUGAAAUGCAUAGAUAUCACGCAGAACCCCGAUUGCGAAGGCAGCAUACCGGCGCCCGACUGACGCUGAAGCACGAAAGCGUGGGUAUCGAACAGG
rnacentral:rRNA from 1 species